CCUACGGGAGGCAGCAGUGAGGAAUAUUCGUCAAUGGGCGCGAGCCUGAACCAGCCAAGUAGCGUGAAGGAUGACUGCCCUACGGGUUGUAAACUUCUUUUAUAAAGGAAUAAAGUGAGGCACGUGUGCCUUUUUGUAUGUACUUUAUGAAUAAGGAUCGGCUAACUCCGUGCCAGCAGCCGCGGUAAUACGGUGGGUACGAGCGUUAUCCGGAUUUAUUGGGUUUAAAGAGAGAGUAGAUGGGUUGUUAAAUAAGUUGUGAAAGGUUGCGGGUCAACCGUAAGAUUGGAAUUGAUACUGGCAGUAUUGAGGACAGUUGAGGUAGGAGGAAUUCGUGGUGUAGCGGUGAAAU
rnacentral:rRNA from 1 species